GUGAAUCUGAGCUUGAUGGCGGAUGAUGUGAUCGCUGUCACCAAGAUAACCCAGGCUCUGAAAGCUCACCACCUGCCCCGUGGCGUGCCUUUUGUCCUCUGCCAGCGUGAGGACUUCACGUUUGAAGAUGUUGUGGAGGUUCAGAAACCUCCCACAGAUGAAGAGAUGGCGAGCGGAAAGAAGCGAACGCUUUUAUAUUUCGAUGCUGCCGCUCCGCACAUGGCCGCGAGAUAUCGACGUGCGAAGCUGAUUAGACUGGAAAAGAAGGCCAAAGCUCCCAAGGCCCCGAGCACGUUUGAGAGGGGCUCAAGCUCUCGAGCCGCACCUGAGCGGGC
rnacentral:lncRNA from 1 species